rnacentral:rRNA from 1 species
UACGAAGGGGGCUAGCGUUGCUCGGAAUCACUGGGCGUAAAGCGCCCGUAGGCGGAUUCCUAAGUCGGUGGUGAAAUCCUGGAGCUCAACUCCAGAACUGCCUCCGAUACUGAGAGUCUUCGAGUCCGGGAGAGGUGAGUGGAACUGCGAGUGUAGAGGUGAAAUUCGUAGAUAUUCGCAAGAACACCAGUGGCGAAGGCGGCUCACUGGCCCGGUACUGACGCUGAGGUGCGAAAGCGUGGGGAGCAAACAGG